GACGAACGCUGGCGGCGUGCUUAACACAUGCAAGUCGAACGCUGAAGCUCAGCUUUUGUUGGGUGGAUGAGUGGCGAACGGGUGAGUAACACGUGAGUAACCUGCCCCCUUCUUUGGGAUAACGCCCGGAAACGGGUGCUAAUACUGGAUAUUCACUGGUCUUCGCAUGGGGGUUGGUGGAAAGGGUUUUUCUGGUGGGGGAUGGGCUCGCGGCCUAUCAGCUUGUUGGUGGGGUGAUGGCCUACCAAGGCUUUGACGGGUAGCCGGCCUGAGAGGGUGACCGGUCACAUUGGGACUGAGAUACGGCCCAGACUCCUACGGGAGGCAGAAGUGGGGAAUAUUGCACAAUGGGCGCAAGACUGAUGCAGCGACGCCGCGUGAGGGAUGGAGGCCUUCGGGUUGUGAACCUCUUUCGCUCAUGGUCAAGCCGCAACAAUGGUUGUGGUGAGGGUAGUGGGUAAAGAAGCGCCGGCUAACUACGUG
rnacentral:rRNA from 1 species